rnacentral:lncRNA from 1 species
GUGUUGCCAUCGAAUAAAAGUACGAAGGCGACAAGAUGGAACUACGACGGCAAUAAAUCCAGCUAAAUGUAAGUUAAUUUUCGCGUUAAAAUACAUUUAAAGUGCCAUGCGCGAUAUGCACUGGUCAGUCUAAUAUGACAGUUAAGAAAGACGUUCACAAAACAUGGAGCUCAUAUCAUAUGAUUCUAUGAGAAAGGCGACAGCGUUGUUUCUAUUAAUUCAAAUGGAACAAGAAGAGC